CUUUAUCUGGGCCAGAUAAAAAAUAAUCUGCGGAGAGAUGAAGCAAUAAGAGGUUCAGGAGACAGAAGAGGCGAGUGAAAUAGCAGCAGCAACAGAGGAUGUGCUUGCUUAAUUAAGAGGCAAACACAUGCAUGGCAAGCCUUUAUCCAUGCACACAUGUAAAGAAAUAGGUCCCCAGGAUGUCCACUGACUCAAACAGAAAAUGGAGGUCUGGCACAGUCAGGAGAACAUGUAAAAGGGUCAGAAUGAGCUUCACAUCCGACAAAGUGUUCUUUUAAAGAGGCUCACAAUUGUGCAAAAAGAACAUUAUCAAAAGACAUAGCAGUUGGAUAUCCCUCCUCCCAUGUUUGAACACAGCCAGUGAAGUGGUGGUGAGAGAGAUGCAUACUGAUACAAAGGCAACUCGACCUCGAGGAGCCUUAUCUCUGCUGUCAGCCGGAGCCAUUGUCCAAGGAUAUACUUCACUGAGAGGCAGCAUGUGUGACGUACUGUAUAUAUCACAGAAAAGCUCUGCAAACACAGGCAAAGAUUCAUGCUUCUCAAAAAAUAUUCAGGUGGAAAAAUUUUCACCUUCUU